UCCUGUUUCCAUUGUGCGGAACGUCCCCGG
rnacentral:piRNA from 1 species